GACCCGUCUUGAAACACGGACCAAGAAGUCUAUCUUGCGCGCAAGCCAGUGGGAUGGCGCGACCCCUCCGUGGGUCCGCCGCUCGAUGAUCCCUACCGGCGAAGAGAACUCGACCACCGGUUGUAGUGUUGUGGGAUUACGGGUUCGGCCACCGCCCGCCGGUGCCGUUCCCCUCCAUCCCAGGGUGUCCCGCCAGUGGGCGGCCGCGUUCGCGCGCGGUCUCCCCGUGGACAUACCCGUGAGUGCGCAGGAUGCGACCCGAAAGAUGGUGAACUAUGCCUGAUCAGGUUGAAGUCAGGGGAAACCCUGAUGGAGGACCGAAGCAAUUCUGACGUGCAAAUCGAUUGUCAGAGUUGGGCAUAGGGGCGAAAGACCAAUCGAACCAUCUAGUAGCUGGUUCCUUCCGA
rnacentral:rRNA from 1 species